rnacentral:rRNA from 1 species
AUUGAACGCUGGCGGCAUGCCUUACACAUGCAAGUCGAACGGCAGCACGGGGCAACCUGGUGGCGAGUGGCGAACGGGUGAGUAAUGCAUCGGAACGUACCUUUCAGUGGGGGAUAACGUAGCGAAAGUUACGCUAAUACCGCAUAUUCUGUGAGCAGGAAAGCAGGGGAUCGCAAGACCUUGCGCUGAUUGAGCGGCCGAUGUCAGAUUAGCUAGUUGGUGAGGUAAAGGCUCACCAAGGCGACGAUCUGUAGCGGGUCGGAGAGGAUGAUCCGCCACACUGGAACUGAGACACGGUCCAGACUCCUACGGGAGGCAGCAGUGGGGAAUUUUGGACAAUGGGGGCAACCCUGAUCCAGCCAUGCCGCGUGAGUGAAGAAGGCCUUCGGGUCGUAAAGCUCUUUCGGCCGGGAAGAAAUCGCACGGGCUAAUACCCUGUGUGGAUGUCGGUACCGGAAUAAGAAGCACCGGCUAACUACGUGCCAGCAGCCGCCGUAACAC